rnacentral:rRNA from 1 species
UACGAAGGGGGCUAGCGUUGCUCGGAAUCACUGGGCGUAAAGGGCGCGUAGGCGGGCUCUUAAGUCAGGGGUGAAAGCCCAAGGCUCAACCUUGGAAUUGCCUUUGAUACUGAGGGCCUUGAGACCGGAAGAGGUCGGCGGAACUGCGAGUGUAGAGGUGAAAUUCGUAGAUAUUCGCAAGAACACCAGUGGCGAAGGCGGCCGACUGGUCCGGUUCUGACGCUGAGGCGCGAAAGCUAGGGGAGCGAACAGG